rnacentral:rRNA from 1 species
AACGAUGAGUGCUAGKKGUGGAGGGUUUCMCCUUCAGUGCUGCAGCUACGCAUUAGCACCCGCUGGGGAGUACGGCCGCAAGGCUGAACUCAAAGGAAUGACGGGACCGCMCAAGCGKKGAGCAUGKGUUUAAUUCGAAGCAACGCGAAGACCUUACCAGGUCUUGACAUCCUUGACAAUCCUAGAGAUAGGACUUUCCCUUCGGGGACAAAGUGACAGGUGGUGCAUGGUUGUCGUCAGCUCGUGUCGUGAGAUGUUGGGUUAAGUCCCGCAACGAGCGCAACCCCUAUUGUUAGUUGCCAGCAUUCAGUUGGGCACUCUAAUGAGACUGCCGGUGACAAACCGGAGGAAGGUGGGGAUGACGUCAAAUCAUCAUGCCCCUUAUGACCUGGGCUACACACGUGCUACAAUGGAUGGUACAACGAGCAGCAAGACCGCGAGGUCAAGCGAAUCUCUUAAAGCCAUUCUCAGUUCGGAUUGCAGGCUGCAACUCGCCUGCAUGAAGCCGGAAUCGCUAGUAAUCGCGGAUCAGCACGCCGCGGUGAAUACGUUCCCGGGUCUUGUACACACCGCCCGUCACACCACGAGAGUUUGUAACACCCGAAGUCGGUGAGGUAACCUUUUUGGAGCCAGCCGCCUAAGGUGGGACAGAUGAUUGGGGUGAAGUCGUAACAAGGUAACC